GACGUAGGGCGCGAGCGUUGUCCGGAUUUAUUGGGCGUAAAGAGCUCGUAGGCGGUUUGUCACGUCGGAUGUGAAAACCCGAGGCUUAACCUCGGGCCUGCAUUCGAUACGGGCUGACUAGAGUUCGGUAGGGGAGACUGGAAUUUACGGUGUAGCGGUGAAAUGCGUAGAUAUCGUAAGGAAGACCAGUGGCGAAGGCGGGUCUCUGGACAGUUCCUGACGCUGAGGCACGAAGGUCAGGGGAGCAAACGGG
rnacentral:rRNA from 1 species